rnacentral:lncRNA from 10 species
GAAAGAAAAGCCAGAGUGAAGCAGACCAUUAGCAGAUAAUUGUCAUAAUCUUGAUACUAAAUGGAGACCAGAAUUAAGUUGAAGUCAGAAGGCAAAGGAUCCUUUGAUGUAGUCCAUUCAGAGCAGAAGGAGAAGAAUGCAGAGUGGAUCUGCAGGGACAAAUAGAAGAUGCAGCGCAAUGGAGAUACUGUUUAAUGCCGCAGGGGACCUGGGCUCUUUUCGUCUCUCCUAUGCUUUCAAAGAAUUGAAUGAAG